ensembl:lncRNA
AUGUGCCCUGUCAACGUUUUUCUAUCCCAGGUGAGUCCAAAAGAGUUUUUUGUCCUUUUAAUUAUCAUUUGCAUGUUUUUUCCCCUCUUUCCUCAUUCUUCAGCAUUACUGAUUACUAAUAUUACCAAGUUUAUCCUAGGAAACCAACUGUGUGUUGGCACAUUCUGUCCUGAAGGUGGGGAAAUUUAUGGAGCACAGUUCCAAGUACACAGCCCAUUACUGUGUAUUAUAGAGAACUUCCCUCCUCUGCUCAGUGAAAACUUGUUAUACCAGUUUAAAAAUAUGUCAGGUGUUUUUGCAUUUGGUUUGGACUGAGUGCUGUGGGACAAAAACUUAAGUUGAGGGAGACAGAUCUGAAACCAGAUCCACUGCUGUAGGGACAGGAAUGUCUUUGAGCUGCAGAGAGCAACUUCCAUCCCUCUCCUGGGUGAUCAGGGUCCAUGUGUGGAGAGUGUGAUGAGUUUGAACAGUCUGGUUGUUGCAGAGACAACAGAGUCUUCUAGAUGGGCACUUUCUAGACAAGAUUGAGAUACCAUCACUUACUGUGAGAAACAGUCAAGAUAGGAUCUGUGGAGAGCAGAGGCAGUCAGUAUUUAUUUGGUACUCUUUAGGAACACCUUUAGCGUUUAGCCCUGUUUAUGACUAAGCUGGAAGAAUAUCUAAUUUCCAGGCAAUGUUAUAAAUUGUUAUAAGUUAAUUGAGAAAUGGCCCUGUGGCUGCUGUGGUUCUUUGCCUGUACAGAAGCAGAGCUGGAGGCAUUGUGAGCUGUAUUUAUUAACAUCUCUUCAGCCUUCCUUCUGCCCUCUGGAUAUGCAGAUUCCCUGCUGCCCCUUCCUUCUUCAGUACUUUAUCUCCUCCCUGCACUGCAGUGCUCACUGUCCCCAGUCCCUUCUGCUCCUCCACUAGCACCCUCACCCCACCCCUGCCUCAGGACCUACUCUUGCUCCCCCGAACUCUCACUAAUGCCUCUGUGGUUUCUUACUGCUUCUCUCUCCAUGAAGCCAUGCCCCUUUUCCUUGUCUGAUUUCACAGGCAUACCAGUGAGUUGUCUAGGAAGCCAGACCUAAUUUCUCUUCUCUCCUUACUUCUGGUGUUAGUGCACCUCACCGGUGAGGCAAGAUUUACAGGUAUGAGGAGAAGGCUGCAGAGGAAGUUCCCUAAUGAGUUGUGCUGCUUUCAGGCUUUGUCUGCAGUUCACCUGGGGGGAGAGAAAGGGGAGCUGGGGUGUAUUUUUUAGAUACUUAGUAUUUUUUUGAUACUUAGUAUUUUUUAUAUACUUCAUAUCUCACUUUCAUUUAAAUUCUAGUUUCGGCUCCUAAAUACUCUAUUAGAUCUAAUCUUUCAUCUUUUCCUUCAGAGCAAAUACUUCCCUUUUCCUGUGUUUUGUUUAGAGGGGGGUGGGACAGCUUUCUACUGGUGUUGCAGUAUCUGGUUAAAAGUGGCCCGAUUUUAAUAGCUGUUCCUUGGCUUCUGCUAUUUAAAACAUAUGUUUUUUGACAUUUAAUGAUAACUUUGUUCUUCCAUACGUCUUAAUGAGUAGAAACAACUGGUGAUUUUCCAGUGUGAAUGUGUUUGAAAUUAAUGCAACUUAUUUUCCUGUGGGGAAUGGAGACAUAUGUCAUUGAAUUGAAUUGAAUAUUAAUGGUAUUAUUUCCAAAGAAGAGAAGUGCAACUAGAAUCAAAGAAAUAUAGAAAAUUAUUUAUUCCAAGUGAAAAUAAAAUAUAUAUCCUUGGAAAUAAACCUAUCUUU